UCCCUAUGGGGUGCAGCAGUCGCGAAAAUUUUGCAAUACACGAAAGUGUGACAGAGCUAUCCCGAGUGUCAUCCGCUGAGGAAGGCUUUUACCCAGUAUAAAUAGCUGGGAGAAUAAGGAGAGGGCAAGUCUGGUGUCAGCCGCCGCGGUAAUACCAGCUCUCCGAGUAGUGUGGACGUUUAUUGGGCCUAAAGCAUCCGUAGCUUGCUAGAUAAGUCCCCUGUUAAAUCCACCGAUUCAAUCGUUGGAUUGCGGGGGAUACUGUUUGGCUAGGGGACGGGAGAGGUCGACGGUAUUUCCGGGGUAGGGGUGAAAUCCUAUAAUCCCGGGAGGACCACCAGUGGCGAAGGCUGUCGGCUAGAACGCGCCCGACGGUGAGGGAUGAAAGCUGGGGGAGCGAACCGGAUUAGAUACCCGGGUAGUCCCAGCUGUAAACGAUGCAGGCUAGGUGUUUGGGCGGCCACGAGCCGCCCUAGUGCCGCAGGGAAGCUGUUAAGCCUGCCGCCUGGGGAGUACGGCCGCAAGGCUGAAACUUAAAGGAAUUGGCGGGGGAGCACCACAAGGGGUGAAGCUUGCGGUUUAAUUGGAUUCAACGCCGGAA
rnacentral:rRNA from 1 species